rnacentral:sRNA from 1 species
GCAACUGCCAGGCAGGUUAAUUUCGUCACGUCCUGUGACAACGCCUGCACUAGCACGUCCUGUGCG